GCUGAGCUCGGUAACGUGGGCUUGUCACCAAGUGGAGCAUUAAGGUAUUUGAAUAAUUUGGUAUUGAGCUCAAGGUUGACAUUAUGAGCUAGCUUUGAUUUGCCCGUUUCCAAGUUGGGCAGUGGAUGCUAUGUUUCAGGCUAACGCUUGAAUCAUAUCCUCCCUAAACUUGAGGGUAAUGCGUGAGGCUGGUUUCACAGAGCAACGAUUACCUCUCACUCUCAAAGGUGGAAGGAUUAUAAGUCAUUUGCUCAUAUUGUCAAUUAGCCUUGGAAUCCACCAAAUUCAACAAAUAUUUUU
rnacentral:SRP_RNA from 1 species